rnacentral:misc_RNA from 1 species
UGCGGCUGGAUCCCCUCCUUUCUAGAGUGGCACUGGAGCGAAAGCUCAACAUCAAGCGCCCACGCUUAUCGGCUGUUGUAAAGUUAAACGAGAACAGUUCGGGUCUGUAGCUCAGUCGGUUAGAGCACCGUGUUGAUAACGCGGGGGUCGUUGGUUCGAAUCCAACCAGACCCACCAGGUUAUCAAAGCCUGCGGGGGAUUAGCUCAGCUGGGAGAGCACCUGCUUUGCAAGCAGGGGGUCGUCGGUUCGAUCCCGUCAUCCUCCACCAUUCACUGUAUUUAUGUAAGCCUGGUGGUUUAGAUAAGUGUAGUUCUCGUUCUUUAACAAUCUGGAAGAAGUAAAGUUUUCUUUAAGCGUGUCGCCAACGAAAGUUGGAAACACACUUAGGGUAGUAAUCUGUUGUAUCAACAAACAUAGUAAGCUGAACUCUUGUCGAUAUGACGUUCCCUGUACUCAUGCAGGGGCCAACGUUAUAGGGACAAGUGAAUAAGUGCACAUGGUGGAUGCCUUGGCGAUUACAGGCGAUGAAGGACGUUGUAGCUUGCGAUAAGCUGCGGGGAGUGAGCAAACACACUUUGAUCCGCAGAUUUCCGAAUGGGGAAACCCGG